rnacentral:rRNA from 1 species
UCCCAGCACCCCGAGUGGUCGGGACGUUUAUUGGUCCUAAAGCAUCCGUAGCCGGUUCUACAAGUCUUCCGUUAAAUCCACCUGCUUAACAGAUGGGCUGCGGAAGAUACUAUAGAGCUAGGAGGCGGGAGAGGCAAGCGGUACUCGAUGGGUAGGGGUAAAAUCCGUUGAUCCAUUGAAGACCACCAGUGGCGAAGGCGGCUUGCCAGAACGCGCUCGACGGUGAGGGAUGAAAGCUGGGGGAGCAAACCGG